rnacentral:rRNA from 1 species
UACGUAGGGACCGAGCGUUGUCCGGAUUCAUUGGGCGUAAAGAGCUCGUAGGCGGCUGUUCAAGUCGAACGUGAAAACUCGGAGCUCAACUCCGAGCCUGCGUUCGAUACUGGACGGCUAGAGUCUGGUAGGGGGAUCGUGGAAUUCCUGGUGUGAGCGGUGGGAAUGCGCAGAUAUCAGGAGGAACACCGGUGGCGAAGGCGGGAUCCUGGGCCAGUACUGACGCUGAGGAGCGAAAGCGUGGGGAGCAAACAGGG